CCUGGUAACCACCCCCCACUCCGGUCACCUCCACUCCCCUCCCCCCCUCCAAUCACCGCUACCAACAACCUCCAUCCACCUUCCUCCUAUUUUUCCUGAGAGCCAAUAGAAACACUGUUGCCAGGUGGAAUGCUCAUUUGAAUCAGCCAAUCCAGGAGUCUAACUGCUUGCCCUGCCUUAUAUGGGGAUUUGAGGAGGGCCACUCCCCCCACUCCAGCCCCACAGGGGACCAGCCUCUCCACUGUCCUUUCUCCCCGCCCUGGAGAGAGCCUGGGACCCUCCCUGUCACCCUCGUGGAGAAGCAUCUCUUAGCCUUUCCUGCCUGGUUGGACAACAGACCCGGCCUCCUGACAUCUGGGCUUCAUGAGAAAGAAGCUAGAAGUGGAACUUGGGAUGAAUUUGGAGCGAGUGGGAUGCUGAAAGCCUAACGCCAUAGUCCUUAGGGUUAGUGUCUGGGCCUUUGGGGCCAGUGGUGUUAAAUGAUGCCAGCUUGUGCGUGCUCCUUCCAGAGAACUACUUCUGGGACCUUGUAGAGGCUUGCCUAUUCCUAGAGUUCCAUUACUCCUCAGUCCAACUGAGAAUUUCUCCCACUAGUUGAAUGGGGCAACCUGGUGCUUCAUACACAUUUUCUGGAGGUGGGAAGAAGGAAGCCAGGUGAGAACAAGGGAGGCAUGAGCGCCCUGGAGACCAUGGCUGCUGGCCUGACAUCCUAGAGAUUUACCUCACUACUGUGUGAAAGGUGUUCAAUUCUAGCUCUUGCCAUCUUAUUCUUAAGUGAAUUCUUCCUUGUCUCCAGCUUCCUGAGUUUUUUCAGCUUGCCUGUUUUUCUGAUAAGUUAAGUGCUAAGGAAGCCCUGGUGAUCCUUGGAGGCAUUGGACGACAGAAACGUGAAAAUUGAACCUCCGUACUCCUCACUGUACUUUUUUAUCCCCAUUCCACUUCCAGUAUAACUCAUUUUCUAUUCCUCAUUUUUCCUUUCCUUUCUUUUUUCUUUUUUUAAUCUUUUCAAAACUCA
rnacentral:lncRNA from 1 species